CAGCCCACGUCUGAAAUGCCUCGGUCCUCCAGCCCCGGCUCCCCGGAGGAGGCAGGGCCUGGGAGGAAGGGGGAGGGAGCGAGGGAGGGAGGGAGGGAGCGAGCAAGCGAGCGGGCGGGCGAGCCAGCCCGGCCGCGAAGGCGGAGAGCGCUCCCGGGCGCCGGGCAGGGGCGCUCUCCGGCCGCCGCGGCCCGGUCUCUUCUCCGGCCCUCGCUCUUUCCCCCUCCCCCGGCCCCGGGCGAGCCGAGCGGGCAGCCGAGCCUCCCCGCGAGCUGCCAUUCGGCCGCUGCGCGCAACAAAAGCCGGCGGCAGCAGAGACUCCGGGCGUGCGCGCUCUGCGGCCCCACGUGGAGCCAAGCUCCGCCUGGCCGCCGCCGAGCGAGUGCCGAGCCCUGGAGUCUCGGCGCCCGGCUUCCUUGCGCCCGAGUCCGGGGACAGACGAGCACUGAGAUGUGGCCAGAUCUCGGCACGCGCGCAUGGGGGCUCCCGUCUCCCCCAGGCCUCACCCGCAGCCAUGUGCGGAGGACCCCCACCCGGGGCAUUUGUACCAGAACACGCGUCCCCCAAAACACGUACACGCGAACACGUACACAGCCUGCGUGGCUGGCCCUGUCUCUGCGCGCACUCCGGGAGACAGACUCUCGUUUGGUUUUUUUGGAAAUGCAUUUGCUAGCCAUUUUGCACGCGAGUCCCGUGUUGUGUUCCACGGGGGGGGGGGGGGCAGGCAGGGGAGCGGGGUGCAGAGGGAGUGUGCAGAGCCGCGCAGUGAGCGCCGAGACUGGGCGGAUUCUGGGCCUGCCCCCUCCAGGCCGCUGCCCCCGGCGCUGCCGGCGAGGGGUGGGCGAGUUGCCUGGGGGGAGGUGCGCCAGUCUAGUAUCUUCCCCAGGCAUCGCGCUUAUCUCUCGAUGCCGCGGUUCUUUCUCCACCCGGGCGGGCACUUAUCUCGCCUGAAGUCCGGGGGCGAAUUUGUAAAACAAACCGUGAAUCGCCCCCACCCCGGAGGCGAGGAGCCUGGUUCGAGUUCGGGCAGGGUGGGGGCCUAGGCGGAGGAUCCGACCUGGCGCCCAGGUAGUCACUUUGUGAGUCUGCAGCAGCUCCCCUGCCGGGGUCGCUGGAUUCCCCCACCCAACCCCGCCCCACCCCAGAGUGCUGCCUCCUAGGGGGCGGGGCAGGUCGCGAGUUGGGCGACCCUACUCAGAUGGAGGGACAUCCUGGGGACAGUGUUCUUUUACCCUUCCUGUGAUGAGAGAAGGGGCCUGGGGGUUCGGAACACGCCCUGGGCCGGGAGCUCCAGAGCCGAGCAGAGCAGUCCUCGGUGACAUUUUGCCCUGUGUAGCCCCCGAACCCCUAGCCCCCGGAGCCCAAGUGGCAGCGAGCAGAGGCUGAAAAUGUGGACCAACCGCUCCAAGAUAGGACAGGCACCUUCCCGGCGACAAGCGUCCCCAGCCUCGCAUUUUUGCCGCACAUGGUUAAGAGCGGAGAAUUCCCCGCAGUCACCGGAGGGUUCUGCGAACUCCGUCUGGCUCGCCAUCUCGCUCCUUUCUUUCCCUUUCGUUCUGUCCUCUCUGGUGGUGACAAAAGAGAGUAAGAGGGAGAGGAGAGAGCGCGCGCGGCCCAGCGCGCCGGCUCCUAACGCCCCCCUGGCGCCCCAUCGCACAGGGUGCCAGAAGCCAGGCCUUGUCCCCCUCCCUACGCAGAACACCGAGGUCAUCGCAGGGCUUUCCGAGGCAGAAAGCACCCCCUCCCCCCAACAGAGCUUGGGCCUGGGACGGCUUCGCUGCGCUUCCAAGGGCGCCCCCGCAGUCCCCGCUACCUGGUGCUGCGGGCGCUGGCUAGCCCACCCGCUCGGCGCGCGCGUGGAGCGCAGGCAGAGUAGCUGCAGCCACAGGGCACCCACUCCCCUCCUCACCCGCUCGGCUCCCCGAGCGGCCCCAUCGCAGCAGAGCGGGUCCUGGGCACUCCGGCCUGCCUCGCCUGGGACCUGGGAGGGGUGCCUGCUGAUUUACCUUGUAAAUAUCUUCACCUAGCUUUGGGCUGCACCCUCGAUUGCCUGUUUUUGCCCAGGUACCUCGAACUUAACCCUGGGGUCACCCCAGAGCAACCACGCCUGACCCCCCCCUCCACUGCAGCAUAGGAGGGAGGGUGGAGAAGAGGGAAAUUUGCGGGGUUCUGAAUCGAAAACGAGGACAUCUUGCUAAUGGUCUGCAAACUUCCGCCAAUUACGACUGACCUCCCAGACUGGGCCCCAGGAGGCUCCUAUUAUGCCGGGCGUCCGCCGUAACUCUGGGAUCAAAAGCGCGAAGGUGCGAACUCCUCUUGUCUCUGCGCGCCCGCCGGCCCCCCUCCCGGUGGGCGAUAAACCCACUCUGGCGCCGGCCGUGCGCUGGGUGAUUAAUUUGCGAACAAACAAAAGCGGCCUGGUGACCACUGCCUUCGGGUUAAACAUUGGCCAGCGCGCUCCGGAGACUUGUGCCAGGCCUGGCCUUCGGGACAGCCCAGGACACCGGCUAGUGCGGCCCCGGCUUCGGGCUGCAGCCGCAGGCUCCGCCUGGACUUUUCUUUGCUUCAAACCCUUGCGUCUUCUCUCCUCCUGCCUCACGUUCCACAAACACCGGGAGGGGGACCAAAUCUUGGGUCCACAAAGGACCUGCAGAAAGUUUGAUGUCUCCAAAAUAUUCCCCUACUUUUUCCAAAAAGAACUCCACACUGCAUUGUAGGCCUGGGAUUUUUUUUUUUUUUUAAGAAAAAAAAAAACACCUCUCUCCAUAUAGGGUAAUGCUUGCAGCCGGCUGAAGGUAAAGGAAUAGCAUUGCACGGGUAGGCGAGUGUUAAGGGCGUGGGCUCAAGAGCCUGAAAUUCAAGGUCGCGCGUGGGAAAAAGGUAGCACAGGCACAGCCAAAUCAAGUGUCUUCAGCCAGGCCAGGGAUGAGAGCAGGCAAGUUCAACGCCGGGGACACCCUGCGGGAUCCCUCUGUUCCCCUGGGGCGCCACCAGCCUCACCGAGCCCUUUGUGACCGAAUGGUGUUUAUCUGAAGUUUACAAAAAAAAAGGGAGAGGAGGGGGAAAGGCUGGUGGGUAGGCGGGGUCGUUUACUUUGGCAAGUUUGCUGUAAAUAUUCGCGUCAGUGCGUGUGAGGUCUGGCCAGGGCCCGGGACACACUCGUUCCCUCUUCAACUCUCACCCCGGUUCACUGCCGAGUGCCUUUUUGGUGUCGCUAGACUGGGAGUUCUGUUGACACAUGGACCCGUGUGUUCCCCCUGGGGUCUGAGGCCUAACUGAGAACUGUGCUGUGUGGGGGUCGGCCAAUGUACAGACUCCCACCAGGGAGGCCGCCAUUGCCCCCUCCCAAUCCCCGCACCCCAUCACAACUCUUUAGGUAUGGAUAUGUUUUCAAAACUGACUCAUUGCUUGCUGUGUGGCUCUUUCCGGCCAGAGUUUCCCCACUGGGGACUGGCUUUUUUUUUUUUUUAACCCCGGGGGAGCAUAGGGGGGAACCAGUCCCUAGUUUCCUAUUCAAAGCUCCUCCUGCAAAACAUCAGGAGCACCCCAAAACCCACAGGCAUGCAUGAACGCCCCCAGACUACCCCCAAACACCGACUGUCCCACCUGCACAACCCCCUGGGCUACCUCCAGCCCUGACUUUCUCACUCAGUGCAGAACUUCCGCACACCCCGGAGCCUCUGGCUGCGCCCCACCUCUCCACCCGGUGCCCCUUGGUCCAGUUCAAGUCCCCCCACAUCUCCUCCACCCUGGGCAGGUACAAAGCUCUGGGCUGCACCGCUCGGGGCAGGACCUCCACCUCUCUUUCUGUUUCUGCUUCUUCUGUCUUCCCCCUUUUCUUUCUGUCUCACCACCUCUCUGUCCAUCUCCCCUUGAGAUUCUUUGAUCACGUGGUCUUUCUUACCCCUUCCUUCUCCUCCAUCCCCCCCACCCCGCCUUGUCCACCUUAUGCCCCAGCCUUUAACUCCUCUUGCUCUUUUUUAAUUUGCUGUCUCCUCUUCUCCUCCUCUCUAUUUCCUUGGUUCUCUCAGAAUUUGCUUCUAUCUUUCUAACUCAGGGCCCCUGCAGUUCCCCCGCCUUGGGCCUCCCCCCAUCUUUCCCAGUCACAACAGACUGGAGGGCCUUCUUCCUGGGGUUCAAGCAGAGUGGGACCCCUCGCUUCCUAGGCUGGGACGAGAUGACGUUAUCUUGGGAGCAAGAAAAAAGUUGGGCCCAUCUGUCUAGGUGGGAAGCUUCGCUGUCUCCUGUUGGCAUCUCCAAAGCCAAGCUUUUGCCCAGGGUGGUUUGGCCCCCUUGGGGCUCCCUAACCUCUGAGAUCCCACCCCCACCCCCCUCCUCAUCUCCUGGGCAGCAGCCCAGGGUAAAAGGCUGCAAAUCGGGCUGCAGAGCCCAACUCCCAGCUUCUGCCUGGCUCCAGCAGCACGAGCUUUCUAGCCAUGCAUAUUUCUCCAUCCCCUGACAUCCUUCUAAAUUAUUGAUCAGAGCAAUUCAGUGCAGGAGUCUGCAGUGUGUGUGCAGGGGGUGGGGGUCGUCCAAGUUGCCGAGCUGGGGAGAAGUAGUAUUUUUAGUAUGAGGCUCACUUUGGCGCCAGUUGGUUUAUGCUGUUUCUAGAGCAUCAUUCAUUACACACUUAAUCCAUGCUUAUCGUACCUCCUUUUAAUGUAAAUAUGUUUUUGGCAGAGGCGAAAUGAAAAGAUCUCACUGUCCGUAUUAUUCUUGUUAGCACCUAGCUUUCACCCUGCAAAACGGCAAAUUUGUACACAGCCAGUGAUUUAGAUAAGUUGGAGGGGAAAUAAAGGAGGUAAGAAUGAAGUGUGUGUGUGUGUGUGUGUGAGCCUGGGGAUGGUGCUUUUUAUACAUCCGUGAAGGUUUUUUUCCUCUCCCUCUCUCAGGAAAAGGAACUAAUUGUGGUUUCCUAAUUUCUAACCCAAUCUACAUCUUCAAUGCUCUCUUUGUGUGUGUGUGUGUGUUUUACCCAAUUAUGAAAAAAAAGAUAAUGCAAUGGACAUUACUUAGUCUAGCAGAAAUGAAUUCCCAAGGCAGGGGCUGGAAAUUUUUCCCUCUUCACUUAUCGGACCCAGAAUCAGCGAGAUGCAGGCCUGGAGCACUUUGAAGACCCCUCACCCCUCUUUCUUCCAUAUCCUCUUUUCCACUAUUCAUUCAAGACAGGACAAAUCCGGGGUGGAUGGCAACGACCUGUGGCCGGGGGUACCAAAAAUGAAAGAGACACGGAGGACCCUUGGCUUCAAAGUGGCGGAGAAGCGACCGCGAGGAGGUAGCUUCCCGGGAGGCGCGGGCGGGGAGCUGGGGUCGCGGCAGCGCGCUCGGCUCCCGGCUGGGGCUUCGUUCGGUUGAUCGAUGAAGGCGUCAGGCCGGCCCACCAUAAAGUCAAUGCAAUCGAUGCGGACGUCCACGACCGCUCGAAACAGAGACCUCUCCCCGUUGCUGCGCGCUCGCCGAGUUCCACGCAACAGGUCUCAGGACUCAAGGUUUCUCGUUCUAGCCAGUCGUUUCCGAACUAGAGGCAGCUGGGGGUGGGGUGGGGGGUGGGCAGGAAGAAGCCUCUGGGCCCACCCGGCGGGGAGAGCGCCCCCUCCUCCUGCGCUCCCCAGAGCCCCUGGCCGCGCCAGCUUCCACCCUCCCGGGGUGAUUUCGUUCAGGACUUGGAAUCCGACACCCGCAACGUCGCGCGCCGACUCGCUCUCCUGAGCUCCAGGUUCCACACCUGCGAAAUGGGUUUGCUACACCGUGCGGUUUAUUGGAGGCGACGUUUGGGAGAUCCUCACGAGAAGGACCGCGUUUUUCUACACUCGUUAAAUGCAGCAAUCAGAGCGGGUGGGCUCCCCAUUUCCUGGACAGGGAAACAGAGUCACGGGGCGGGGAGUCGUACCGCUCCUCUCCGAGGGAGCUGGGGAUCAACCAGGGCCUGCCCAGCUCUUUGUCUUGGCAGGAGGCGCGCACAGUGGGGAUUCCUGUUCUGCACUGCCCUUUUGGGGAAGAAAUUCCAAUAAACCCUCCAUCGGGCGGUCUUGCCCACUA